AUUGAACGCUGGCGGCAUGCCUUACACAUGCAAGUCGAACGGCAGCACGGGAGCAAUCCUGGUGGCGAGUGGCGAACGGGUGAGUAAAGUAUCGGAACGUGCCCAGUCGUGGGGGAUAACGUAGCGAAAGUUACGCUAAUACCGCAUACGAUCUAUGGAUGAAAGCGGGGGAUCGCAAGACCUCGCGCGAUUGGAGCGGCCGAUAUCAGAUUAGGUAGUUGGUGGGGUAAGGGCUCACCAAGCCGACGAUCUGUAGCUGGUCUGAGAGGACGACCAGCCACACUGGGACUGAGACACGGCCCAGGCUCCUACGGGAGGCAGCAGUGGGGAAUUUUGGACAAUGGGCGAAAGCCUGAUCCAGCCAUGCCGCGUGCAGGAUGAAGGCCUUCGGGUUGUAAACUGCUUUUGUACGGAACGAAAAGGUUUGGCCUAAUAAGCUGAGCUCAUGACGGUACCGUAAGAAUAAGCACCGGCUAACUACGUGCCAGCAGCCGCCGUAA
rnacentral:rRNA from 1 species